rnacentral:pre_miRNA from 1 species
AUGUGGGUAGGGUUAAGGAGUGGAGCUCCUUGAAGUCCAAAAGAAGGUGAUGCUGGGUGGAUAGAGCUGCUGAGCUAUGGAUCCCAGAGUCCUAUAUAUCCUAUAUCGCAGAUCAGAUCAGAUGCGAUCAGAAGGAUGAUAGGCUUGUGGCUUGCAUAUCUCAGGAGCUGCAUUACCUGUACGCUGCCUCUUUUUUUGGAUUGAAGGGAGCUCUACACCUCUCUCUCUGUCUCU